rnacentral:rRNA from 1 species
UACGCUGGCGGCACGCCUAACACAUGCAAGUCGAACGAAGUAGCAAUACUUAGUGGCGAACGGGUGAGUAUAAUGUGGGUAUCUGCCUUUUGGUUUGGAAUAACACGAGGAAACUUGUGCUAAUACCGGAUAAGCCUUCACAGGGAAAGUUUUAACGCCAAAAGAUGAGCCCGCACUUGAUUAGCUAGUUGGUAAGGUAAAAGCUUACCAAGGCUACGAUCAAUAGCUGAUCUGAGAGGAUGAUCAGCCACAUUGGGACUGAGACACGGCCCAAACUCCUACGGGAGGCAGCAGUGGGGAAUCUUGCACAAUGGGGGAAACCCUGAUGCAGCGAUGCCGCGUGAGUGAAGAAGGCCUUUGGGUUGUAAAGCUCUUUCGUCGGGGAAGAAAAUGACUGUACCCGAAUAAGAAGGUCCGGCUAACUUCGUGCCAGCAGCCGCGGUAAUACGAAGGGACCUAGCGUAGUUCGGAAUUACUGGGCUUAAAGAGCUCGUAGGUGGUUAGAAAAGUUGGUGGUGAAAUCCCAAGGCUUAACCUUGGAACUGCCACCAAAACUUUUUAACUAGAGUAUGAUAGAGGAAAGUGGAAUUUCUAGUGUAGAGGUGAAAUUCGUAGAUAUUAGAAAGAACACCAAUUGCGAAGGCAACUUUCUGGAUCAUUACUGACACUGAGGAGCGAAAGCAUGGGUAGCGAAGAGGAUUAGAUACCCUCGUAGUCCAUGCCGUAAACGAUGUGUGCUAGACGUUGGAAAUUUAUUUUUUCA